GUCCAGGGGCGGGAAUCGAACCCACAACCUUCUGCUUACCGGGCAGGUACCAUGUCCACUAGGCUACCCUGGA
rnacentral:tRNA from 1 species